CACGUGGGGGGCAAGCGUUGUCCGGAUUUAUUGGGCGUAAAGAGCUCGUAGGUGGCUGAGUAAGUCGGAUGUCAAAUCCCCAGGCUCAACCUGGGACACCACCCGAUACUGCUCUAGCUAGAGUCCGGUAGGGGAGCAUGGAAUUCCUGGUGUAGCGGUGAAAUGCGCAGAUAUCAGGAGGAACACCAGCGGCGAAGGCGGUGCUCUGGGCCGGAACUGACACUGAGGCACGAAAGCUAGGGGAGCAAACAGG
rnacentral:rRNA from 1 species